rnacentral:rRNA from 1 species
AACGAACGCUGGCGGCAUGCCUAACACAUGCAAGUCGAACGAGAUCUUCGGGUCUAGUGGCGCACGGGUGCGUAACGCGUGGGAAUCUGCCCUUUGGUUCGGAAUAACAGUUGGAAACGACUGCUAAUACCGGAUGAUGACGAAAGUCCAAAGAUUUAUCGCCAGAGGAUGAGCCCGCGUAGGAUUAGCUAGUUGGUGUGGUAAAGGCGCACCAAGGCGACGAUCCUUAGCUGGUCUGAGAGGAUGAUCAGCCACACUGGGACUGAGACACGGCCCAGACUCCUACGGGAGGCAGCAGUGGGGAAUAUUGGACGAUGGGCGAAAGCCUGAUCCAGUAAUGCCGCGUGAGUGAUGAAGGCCUUAGGGUUGUAAAGCUCUUUUACCCGGGAUGAUAAUGACAGUACCGGGAGAAUAAGCUCCGGCUAACUCCGUGCCAGCAGCCGCCGCUG